UCCAGAGGUCCCAAGCGUUGUUCGGAUUCAUUGGGCGUAAAGGGUGUGUAGGUGGCGCCGUAAGUCGGGUGUGAAAUCUCGGGGCUUAACCCCGAAACUGCAUUCGAUACUGCGGUGCUUGAGGACUGGAGAGGAGACUGGAAUUCAUGGUGUAGCAGUGAAAUGCGUAGAGAUCAUGAGGAAGACCAGUGGCGAAGGCGGGUCUCUGGACAGUUCCUGACGCUGAGGCACGAAGGCCAGGGGAGCAAACGGG
rnacentral:rRNA from 1 species